UUAAACUUAAUAUAAAGUUAUUUAUAUAACCAUUUUGUAAAUGGCUCGAAAAAUUAGAGGUUAGCUGAGCCAGCUAAAUAUCAUCACCUAAAUACAGUAGGCCUCUUGCCUCUUGCUGCACCAGUAGUAGUAGCUGCUAACCUAUAGGUCGAACUACUGGUUGUUCUUCUCGAGGGCAAAUUUGGGCGAUAAACACCACAAAAAUGAAGUUGUUGUAUGUCUCCACCUGUCGUCUUCUCCCAUGCGAAUUAUCCUGUAGAAAAGAAAUAAUGAUGGCUGAAAAGAAGACGGAGCGCACGAUCAUUAAGUUAUUGAUUUUUCUCUGGUCAAAGCGUAUACCUACUUGAUUCAGUUAAAAUGCAGGGGCACAUUAAUUGAAGUUUGAUUUUCUUUUGUGGAACAAUGUAGAGCAAUGUUAAAGGAUACAUUUAUAAACAAAUUUAUAAACAACAAUCGUUGCAUGUAGUAAAAGAAAAACCUCAAAUGAUGAUUUAUAUUUAUAGCGUAUUCCAAAACGUAUUUAUUUACUUUACUAAAAGAUAUAUAUUUAAUUUUUAAUUGUUUUCAAUUUUUUUAAUCUUUUUAUUAUUAUAUUCUCCACAGGAAUAAUUUGAAGACCGCUCCAUCUAGCUCCCUCCACAGCCAGACACAGCAACGAUCCUCCAGCUCCAUUCAGGCCGUGAAGGUGGACAGCUUUCUCUGAGCUGCUUUGGCCGUUUGCUGUUUGCUCAGCCUCCUGUUCCUCUCACGGAUUUCCCCCCCGAGCCUGCACAUCACACAUUUUUUUAUUGCUAUUGUCUCCAAUAGAAUUGCAUGCUCAGGGUGUGAGCUGAAGAGGCUUUUGAACACCCCCAGACUGCCCAGAGCCCUCUCCAUUUUUUUGGUGAUCUGGGUGAGAGGCCAGAAAGCGUCGAUGUUCCGUCCAAAUUCCCCCUCCAAAAGCUGGAUGGCAGCGAAAAACCCUUCCGAAGGCCUCAUUAGGUUUGCCGUUUCCGUGUAUUUUUUUGCCUCCAGGAAGGGGUGGUCCUCACUUGUGGCGUAGCUGUGGUCCUGAUGUCUGGCACCCAACAACAGCACCUCACAGUGUGGACAGGCCUGAACAAUUUCCUCCUUUUGUAGGACCCGGACAAGCCAGCCAGCAACGUAGAACAGGCCCUCCUCCUGGAUGCAAUCGCCAACAGUCUACAAGGUGGUAGGGAGGGCCAUUGAGGUCAUUGGAGCUGUUGAGGUGGAGGGGAUUGCGUCCUCUGACAUACUGGCUAGGAGGGUUGUCCCGUCAUCCAGCUCGCAGUUUGAUGCAGUCGAUGCAGAAAGAGCAGGAGAAAGAAAUGGCUGACUGACCUGAACUGCCAGCUUGCCACCCAGCUGAUGCAUUCCCUCAGGAAGUUCUCCUUCUCCUGGUUUCCGGAGCCUAGGGGUCGUCGCCAGGGGUUAGAAUCCUUGACUGAUCUGUUGUUCCUGAUUGAUUUCAGAAGGUGAGGGACAUCAAAAAUCACAGGAACCCUCUGAACCCCCACCAGGAUACAGUGGGAUUCCUCACCUCCCAGAGGGUCCAGGCUAGCCCCAAGGUUCCGCACAGCCUUCACAUUAGGGCUUCCCUGGUCACAUAUUACUGCCUGCACCUUUGAAAUUGGUUAAUACAUUGUUGUCAAUGCAAGCCCUAUAUGAUGUAGGUGGCGAAUGGCAUCCUUAAUGACGGUAGCAAUAUCAUCUGCUGGCAUUGAAGAUGGGGAAAAGAAGUAACCAACCGUCUGUUGAAAGAAAUGCCUUAGGACGAGUGUACACAUCCUCUCCACAGGGGUCAUGGUGGCGGCGAUGACUCCCAUUUGGGAGAUGAUUCCCUGUAGGAAGCCAGGCUGUCAGGAAAUAAAAGUUGUGCCCUAAUGAAGUUCCGGCAGCCCUCAGGACACCUCUGGAGCAUCUCCUCCAUAAUUUCAUGGGGACUACGAAAGAACAAGAGGUGGGGAGGCAAGUGGUGGCGGGUUGUCGCAAUCCACCAGUGUGGGGAUGGCAUCUCUGUUGGAUCUUGAUGCUGUGGCAACGGACAAGUCUUCUUCCUCUUUUAUUAUAUUGUUGUUCCUCUGUCCUUUUUUCCCUGCCUAUGUUCAGUGUUCAGUUCUCUUUUUUUUAUUUUUUAUUAUUUACUAUGUUACUGUUCUUAUUGUGUU